ensembl:lncRNA
CAACUUUAUAUGCCACAGGGCGGCCAAAAAAGACAAAAAAUAAAAACUUCCUUGGCAGGAAAGUGUGUACAUCCCAGGUACAUGCUGCAGCAAAACCUUUUUUUGUUUCUUGCCUCGCCUGCAGCAUGCCGGAGUUCCUGAGCCCGGGAUCAUGCCCAUGUCGUAGCAGGGACCUGAGCUACAGCAGUGACAAUGCUGAGCCACCGGGGAACUUCCUGCAGGAAACCUUUUAUACAAACCAAAAUCAUUAAAGGACGGGGCUCAUCGCUAGAGAAAUUGCAAAGAAACAACAUAGAAAACAAGCUGUUAUGGAGGCCAGAGCUGACAGGAGGGGAACAGCCUGUGCAAAGGUGUGGAGUGAGAGUGAGGCCGUGGGGUGAGCCCAGCACUGAGCACCUAGGAUCCUUCAGGCCGAUGCAAUAGGUAAGGAUGGGGAGGGGGGAAGGCUGGAGAGGUCAGUGCGUCAGGACCCCCCAGGGCUCUGACUCCAGCUGAGGAGUUUGGAUGGUCUUGCUGGGUGACUCUGGGCAGCUGACUGACAUCUCUGAGCCCAACUGCACAUCUGUAGGUACCCUCAGAAGGUGGUCGUAAGAAUCCCAUGAGCUAAUACAUUGUAAUGGCAUUAAGAAGGCCCUUGGCACGGAGCAGGCAUGGAGUGAAUAUUAGCUCUUUAUAAGGUGUUUCUCUGGCUUUCCCACAUGGCCUGACACCGGGAGAGUCUAAGUGAAAUGGGAGAGGGAGCCUUAUAAGCAUUGAUCUCAUCUCGUCCUAAAACCCCAUUAAGGGGACAGGACAGACAUAAGCAAGACCGUGGGAACAGGAGAGGAGCCAGUGGAAGAUGGGACGAACCAGCCAGGCAGGGGCAGCUCCACGUCGGUGGAGGGGGCACUUCCAGAUGGGAACAGGGUCUCCUACAGAGCCCCAGAAACACUCAGGACUCAGAGGCAUCAGAUACUGAGGAAGGUGGCUGAGGGAUGGAUUAAAAACAAGGGGGCUGAUGGAAAGCCAGUGUGGGAGCUGCUGGACUUCCUGGUCCCCCCCCUUCCUGUCUCUCUCACUCCCCCACUCCCAGGAGACCAAGAGGUGAAGGUUCCUUCUCCAGAGACAGAGACCUGGGGGGAUCCUGACCCAGAAACACCCAAGCAGCCGACCCCACCCCCACCCGCCACUGCAGGACAGAAGGAUGAAGCGUCCUCUCUGGAGUAAUGGGUCUCCACACUCGCCCCUAAAACCGGACUUGCUACCAGAUCACCACAAUGAAGCUUCCAGUCAACUAGUUCCACCCCCCUACCCCAUCCUGAAGUCAGGCACCCAGCUUCCCAUCGGGUUGUUGCCUGUAAGGGUCACCAGGAAAAAACAGGGACCAAAAAUCAAGAAACACCUGGAGGAGUUCCCGUCGUGGCGCAGUGGUUAACGAAUCCGACUAGGAACCAUGAGGUUGCGGGUUCGGUCCCUGCCCUUGCUCAGUGGGUUAACAAUCCGGCGUUGCCGUGAGCUGUGGUGUAGGUUGCAGACGCGGCUCGGAUCUCGCAUUGCUGUGGCUCUGGCGUAGGCCAGUGGCUACAGCUCUGAUUCAAUCCCUAGCCUGGGAACCUCCAUAUGCCGCGGGAGCGGCCCAAGAAAUAGCAAAAAGACAAAAAAAAAAAAAAAAAAAAAAAAAGAAACACCUGGAGGAAACAGAUAAUGCAGCAGCAGAGCAAAACUGAAACAACAAACCAGCAAGAGAAGCAAAAUGAAACUUUUUGGGGUUUUUUUGCUUUUUUUUUUUUUUUUUUGCUUUUUAGGGCCACACCUGUGGCAUCUGGAGGUUCCCAGGCCAGGGGUCAAAUAGGAGCUGUAGCUGCCAGCCACAGCCACAGCCACAGCCACGCUCACUUAACCCACUGAGCGAGGCCAGGGAUCCAACCUGCGUCCUCAUGGAUGCUAAUCAGAUUCAUUAACACUGAGCCAUGAUGGGAACUCCCUGAGGUGAAACUCUAAGCAGAAAGUUUGAAAGGUAACAUGAAGGAAAUCUCUCAGAACUAGGCAAAAAGGGAGAAUAGGAAAAAAAAAUAAAGAAACGAGAAAACUGGAAGAUCGAUCCCGG